rnacentral:rRNA from 1 species
CACGGGGGGAGCAAGCGUUGUUCGGAAUCACUGGGCGUAAAGGGCGUGUAGGCGGUCAGGUAAGUGGGACGUGAAAUCCCUCGGCUCACCCGAGGACCUGCGUCCCAUACUGCUUGGCUUGAGUAUGGGAGAGGAUGAGGGAAUUCCUGGUGUAGCGGUGAAAUGCGUAGAUAUCGGGAGGAACACCAAUGGCGAAGGCAGCUCGCUGGGACGUUACUGACGCUGAGACGCGAAAGCGUGGGGAGCAAACAGG